rnacentral:piRNA from 1 species
UGGGAAAGCCAGCAAUCAGGCGUUCA